GUACACAAAAAUGCACAUACUGUGAGCUCGAUGAGUAGGGCGGGACACGUGGUAUCCUGUCUGAAUAUGGGGGGACCAUCCUCCAAGGCUAAAUACUCCUGACUGACCGAUAGUGAACCAGUACCGUGAGGGAAAGGCGAAAAGAACCCCGGCGAGGGGAGUGAAAAAGAACCUGAAACCGUGUACGUACAAGCAGUGGGAGCCUCUUAAUGGGGUGACUGCGUACCUUUUGUAUAAUGGGUCAGCGACUUAUAUUCUGUAGCAAGGUUAACCGAAUAGGGGAGCCGAAGGGAAACCGAGUCUUAACUGGGCGUUAAGUUGCAGGGUAUAGACCCGAAACCCGGUGAUCUAGCCAUGGGCAGGUUGAAGGUUGGGUAACACUAACUGGAGGACCGAACCGACUAAUGUUGAAAAAUUAGCGGAUGACUUGUGGCUGGGGGUGAAAGGCCAAUCAAACCGGGAGAUAGCUGGUUCUCCCCGAAAGCUAUUUAGGUAGCGCCUCGUGAAUUCAUCUCCGGGGGUAGAGCACUGUUUCGGCAAGGGGGUCAUCCCGACUUACCAACCCGAUGCAAACUGCGAAUACCGGAGAAUGUUAUCACGGGAGACACACGGCGGGUGCUAACGUCCGUCGUGAAGAGGGAAACAACCCAGACCGCCAGCUAAGGUCCCAAAGUCAUGGUUAAGUGGGAAACGAUGUGGGAAGGCCCAGACAGCCAGGAUGUUGGCUUAGAAGCAGCCAUCAUUUAAAGAAAGCGUAAUAGCUCACUGGUCGAGUCGGCCUGCGCGGAAGAUGUAACGGGGCUAAACCAUGCACCGAAGCUGCGGCAGCGACGCUGAUGCGUUGUUGGGUAGGGGAGCGUUCUGUAAGCCUGUGAAGGUGGCCUGUGAGGGUUGCUGGAGGUAUCAGAAGUGCGAAUGCUGACAUAAGUAACGAUAAAGCGGGUGAAAAGCCCGCUCGCCGGAAGACCAAGGGUUCCUGUCCAACGUUAAUCGGGGCAGGGUGAGUCGACCCCUAAGGCGAGGCCGAAAGGCGUAGUCGAUGGGAAACAGGUUAAUAUUCCUGUACUUGGUGUUACUGCGAAGGGGGGACGGAGAAGGCUAUGUUGGCCGGGCGACGGUUGUCCCGGUUUAAGCGUGUAGGCUGGUUUUCCAGGCAAAUCCGGAAAAUCAAGGCUGAGGCGUGAUGACGAGGCACUACGGUGCUGAAGCGACAAAUGCCCUGCUUCCAGGAAAAG
rnacentral:rRNA from 1 species